GACCGCGUAGCUCAGUCGGAAGAGCAUUGGGCUAGUACUAGAUUCCAAAGGUCGUAGGUUCGAAUCCCACCGUGGCCG